rnacentral:lncRNA from 1 species
AUGGAAUUCCAUGGAAUUGCCCGGAAUUCCGGGAAUUCCCGGCUCCUACCUGUCAGGGAAGGUCAUUCCGGGAUGAGCCGGAGCCGAGGAUCCUGCGGGAAGAGACGGGAGGAGAAUCCCUGGAAUUCCAACAUUCCCGAGGAAAUUCCGGGAUGGAAAAACUCCGCCCACCCCCGGCCGGGAACAGCCCUGGGAUUUGGGAAUUCUGUGAAAAUCGGGAAUCCUGGGGUUGGGAAUUGGGAUAAAAUCAGUGAUUCCCAUAAAAUCCCGGGAUUUUUCCGUGUUUUCCAGCAGAAUUCCCGGGAAAGGAGGAUCCCGCGGGAUCGCGGCGCAGGAGGCGCCUCCGGAGCUUCCCAAGGAUUUUUCCCACGGAUCUGGAAGUUCCAGAUUCCCAAAAAAUUCCCCUCUGGAAGAGCCGGGCUGGGUGGGAGCAAUCCCAGAUUUCCAGGAAUUCCCGGAUUUUCCCGAGGAAUUCCCGAGGUUUGGAUCCCAGCAGGAUCCGGAGGAUUCCCAGGAUUUGCCCCCGGAUCCGGCCCCGCCCGAGGCUUUUCCCGGGAAUUUGGGAUUGGGGAGCUUCAAUCCAAGAAUCCCUGGAAAAACGGGAUUUGGAGGGAAUUCCUUGGGAAGCAGCAGAAUCCCGGGAAUUCCAACAUCGGAUUCCACCCGAUUCCGAUGGAUCCCGGAAUUCCAGAGCCUCCAUUUGUGCCUUUUCCAUGGGAAAAACGGGAAUUCUGGAGCGACUUUUCCAUGGAAUUCCCAUGGACAGGACCCUGGGAUUCCCUCUGGGAUCAAAUCCUGCUUUUUUUUUUGGGAAAAUCCAAGAAUUCCCAGUUUUUUUCCCUUCCUUUGGUUCAUCCUGUGAAUUCCUCGGGCACCGAAAUCCAUGGAAUUCCCAGAUUUCCCGUCAUUCCCGGUUUUUCUGGACCGGAAGCAGCUCCUGGAGCCUUUGGCCGUUCCCGGGGUUUUCCGGCUGCUCCGGAAUUCCGGGAAUUCCAGCGGGAAUUAACGGAGCUGAGCCGGAGCUGCUCCUGGUUAAGAGGAUCUGGGAAAAUCCCAGAAAAUCCUUUGGAAUUUGGAGCUGCCCCGGUCGCUUUUCCCGGGAGUUUGGGAAGUUCUGAGGAUCCGGGAGAGCCGGAAUUCCCUGGUUUUUACUGGAAAAUCCUGGAAAAGUUUGGGAUUUGUGGGAAAAGCUGGAGAAGGAAAAAGCUGGGAUGGUGGGAAUAUUCCCGGCCGAUCCCUGAGCUCCUUCCCACCCCAAAGCAUCCCGGAAUUCCAGGAAUCCAUGGAAAAACAGGGAUUUAUUCCCUUCCAGGAUUCACCUCCGGCCUUGCAAUUCCAGCAGCAACAUCCCAGGUUUGGCUCUGGAAUUCUGGGAUUCGAAACAUUCCCAGAACAUCCUGA